GCAUUUACAUUCGCUCGCCUGUGCAGCCGGUCGACUGCAGUGCCGCCCCCGCGGCACCAAAGGGAACUAUGUAUCUAGGUAACUUUUCGCCCUAGGGGAGCCUAGCGCCCUAGUUGUCGUGCAAAAAACGCGCCUAGCUCCUGAAACGCCCUAGUCCCCAUGCGCGCGCGCGCGAGGCCCAUAGAAGUAUGCGCUAGCGCAGGGUUUUUAGUCUUUAUUCUAUGGCGACAGGGUGCACGCAAGCAGCACGACCACGAACGAAGCGAUACAAGGUGGAACAGCGCGUUUUACGACAAUCGAAGCUGUGUGUGUGUGACGAAGGUGUAUGCGCAAAAUAGCACGACCACGAACGAAGGUGGAACAUCGCGUUUUGGCGUUUAGUGUGCGCAGAGCAAUCGAGUUGCGUGUGUGACGCGUUUGUUCGCGCAAACAGCACGACCACGAACGAAGCGAUACAAGGUGGAACAGCGCGUGUUGCACAAUCGAGUUGUGUGUGUGCGUGUGUGACGCGUUUGUUAUGCGCAAAGAGCACGACGACGAUCGUCUUCUAACUGCGCCAGAGCAAACCGAUUGUUGAGUACUGCAUACGUAUUGCGCGGGCGUUAAAACUAGAGAAACACGGGAUUGCGACGCGACCAGCCGCAGUGUAUAGGACUGUACGUACGUUGGUACGUACGUACGUUUUUUAAUGUGGCCAAUCUUAAAAGGACGAUGGCAUUUCUGCACCGGCGGAGAAGUGGGAAAUCGUGAUUAAAUUUGGCCGAUCAUUGUCAAAAGCAAAGGCUUACCCUUAAUUAGGGGUUAUCCCCUACCUUCUACUGAAACUGCAGCCUCUAGUAGGCUUCAUGCACUUUUGUAGUCAUGACACCAUACGACGAUACCCUCUGACGUGGGGCCCAGACUACUGGAGAGCUGGUUGAUCAAGCUUGCUCAAUAUACUUGACCUUUUGUUCUUUCAUUAUGCUACAGUGCUAGAGCGUAGUUUCUUGCUAUUAGUAAACUGGCAAAACAACAAAGCAUUGCUACUUUA